rnacentral:rRNA from 1 species
UACGUAGGGGGCUAGCGUUGUCCGGAUUUAUUGGGCGUAAAGAGCGUGUAGGCGGCCAGGUAGGUCUGGUGUGAAAACUCGAGGCUUAACCUCGAGAUGUCAUCGGAAACCAUCUGGCUAGAGUCCGGAAGAGGAGAGUGGAAUUCCUGGUGUAGCGGUGAAAUGCGCAGAUAUCAGGAAGAACACCAAUGGCGAAAGCAGCUCUCUGGGACGGUACUGACGCUGAGACGCGAAAGCGUGGGGAGCGGGCAGG